UACGGAGGGUGCAAGCGUUAAUCGGAAUCACUGGGCGUAAAGCGCACGUAGGUGGUUGAGUAAGUCAGAUGUGAAAUCCCCGGGCUCAACCUGGGAACUGCAUUUGAAACUGCUUGGCUAGAGUCCGAUAGAGGGGGGUGGAAUUCCAGGUGUAGCGGUGAAAUGCGUAGAUAUCUGGAGGAACAUCAGUGGCGAAGGCGACCCCCUGGAUCGAGACUGACGCUGAGGUGCGAAAGCGUGGGGAGCAAACAGGAUUAGAUACCCGUGUA
rnacentral:rRNA from 1 species